CCUUACCUCUUGAUUCCCAUGCUGAGGUAUUCUGUCAGUGAGAGAAACUGCACUGUAUACGGUCACUGUUCAGAACACAGAUGACAUCCUUAGAAACAGCACUCCAACCUUGCAACAGGUGCUGUCAACGAAUCAUCAGUAAACCAUUUUAUGAUUUGUUAAAGACUAUGGGCCACACAGUAAGCCCAGUCCAAUCCUCUUGGCACUUAGAUUUCUCAGCAUCAUCUCAUAAAUCAGUGAUUCAUUGGUCGUUUUAUUUAUAAUAUAAAUAAAGCACCUUAUCAAUCAGAUUGGCAGACUUGACAAUUCCAAAACAAAAUGUAAAUACAGAAAUCCUUCAUGACACUGAAGUUGAGACAAAGACCCCAAUCAGAUUGGCAGAUUUAGCAAUUUCUUUUUUUUCUUUUAAAUAGGGAAUCCUUUCCCCACUGCAUGUUUUUGUCAGGUUUAUCAAGAUCAUAUAGUUGUAUAUGUGUGGUGUUAUUUCUGAGGCCUCUGUUCUGUUCCAUUGGUCUAUAUAUCUGUUUUGGUAGCAGUACCAUGCUGUUUU
rnacentral:lncRNA from 1 species